rnacentral:rRNA from 1 species
UAGGGAAUCUUCGGCAAUGGACGGAAGUCUGACCGAGCAACGCCGCGUGAGUGAAGAAGGUUUUCGGAUCGUAAAGCUCUGUUGUUAGAGAAGAACGUUGGUAGGAGUGGAAAAUCUACCAAGUGACGGUAACUAACCAGAAAGGGACGGCUAACUACGUGCCAGCAGCCGCGGUAAUACGUAGUUCCCGAGCGUUGUCCGGAUUUAUUGGGCGUAAAGCGAGCGCAGGCGGUUCUUUAAGUCUGAAGUUAAAGGCAGUGGCUUAACCAUUGUAAGCUUUGGAAACUGGAGGAAUUGAGUGCAGAAGGGGAGAGUGGAAUUCCAUGUGUAGCGGUGAAAUGCGUAGAUAUAUGGAGGAACACCGGUGGCGAAAGCGGCUAUCGGGUCUGUAACUGACGAUGAGGCUCGAAAGCGUGGGGAGCAAACAGG